rnacentral:tRNA from 1 species
AAGGGUAUAGCUCAAGUGGUAGAGCGCAUGCUUUGCACGCUCAAGGUCCUGGGUUCAAUCCCCAGUACCUCCU